rnacentral:rRNA from 1 species
GGAUGUGAUCAUACCAGCACUGAAGCACCGGAUCCCAUCAGAACUCCGAAGUUAAGCGUGCUUGGGCGAGAGUAGUACUAGGAUGGGUGACCUCCUGGGAAGUCCUUGUGUUGCAUUUC